rnacentral:rRNA from 1 species
UACGGAGGGUGCGAGCGUUAAUCGGAAUUACUGGGCGUAAAGCGCGCGUAGGCGGUUUAUUAAGCCGAUUGUGAAAUCCCUAGGCUCAACCUAGGAACUACACCCGGAACUGGCAAGCUAGAGUAUAGUAGAGGAAGGUGGAAUUCCACGUGUAGCGGUGAAAUGCGUAGAUAUGUGGAGGAACAUCAGUGGCGAAGGCGGCCUUCUGGACUAAUACUGACGCUGAGGUGCGAAAGCGUGGGGAGCAAACAGG